AUUUUAGCGCCAGGACCUUAGAAAAAGGUCGACGAGGAGAAGGGUUAUCGAUAAUUCGGCGGAUGCCCUUCCGUAGAUCUCAAUGCGACAUAUAUUGGCAAAUAUGUGGGUAACUACAAAACAAAUCCAAUAU
rnacentral:ncRNA from 1 species